UACGUAGGGGGCAAGCGUUGUCCGGAUUUAUUGGGCGUAAAGAGCGUGUAGGCGGCCGCACAGGUCCGUUGUGAAAACUGGAGGCUCAACCUUCAGACGUCGAUGGAAACCGUGCGGCUAGAGUCCGGAAGAGGAGAGUGGAAUUCCUGGUGUAGCGGUGAAAUGCGCAGAUAUCAGGAAGAACACCCGUGGCGAAGGCGACUCUCUGGGACGGUACUGACGCUGAGACGCGAAAGCGUGGGGAGCGAACAGG
rnacentral:rRNA from 1 species